rnacentral:lncRNA from 1 species
UAGGCGAUAGAAUUAAGUGUUUAUUUCCUAUUACUACCAUAACAAAUUUAGUGGCUUAGGCAAUACAAACAUGUUAUCUCACAGUUCUGUGGGUCAGAAAUCCAAUGGGCUCAUCUGGUUCCCCUGCUCCAAUUUCACAGGUCCAAAAUCAAGGUGUUGGCAGGGCUGUGUUUCUCUCUUGAGACCCUAGGACAGAAUCCUCUCUUACUUAUUCGGAGUGUUAGCAGAAUUCAGUCUUGCAGUUCUAUGACUGAAGUAAUGGUUUUCUUCCUGGCUGUCAGCUGAGAAUCAACUCCAGCUUCUGAAGAAUGUUGUAUUUCUUGCCUUGUGGCCCCCUUCUUUCAGCUUCAAAGUCAGAAAUGGCAGGGCAAGUACUUAUUAUGCUUCAGAUCUCUUCUACAUCUUCUAUUGUGGCAUUUCUCUGGCUGCCUCCAGGAAAGGUCUCCUUUUAAAGACUCAAGUGGUUUGAUUGAGCCCACCUAGAUAAUCCAGGAUAAUCUCUCCAUAUCAGGGUUUACACCCUUAAUCACAUCUGCAAAACUCCUUUUGCUGCCAUUUGAGACAACAUAUGCACCAGUUCUAGGGAUUAAGCUAUGGACAUCUCUGGGGAGACAUUUUUCUGCCUACCGUGGUGUUAAUGCCUGACAGCCUCUAUUUUCAAGAUGAAGUAAGAAAUUAAGUCUUUAGGUGAUAGUGAGGUAGGGAGUGGUGUAAUUGAAGGAUUGAAAGAAGGAAUAAGAUCCAGAAUAGCUAUAGGGAUUAGUGAGAAUAGAAAUAAAUUAAGAGUUAAAAGCAAAAACAAAAACAAAAGUUCCUGUGUUGGAAAUAAGAGAUUGUGAGAGACUUAGGCACCCUCUGGCAAACCAAGUAUAAAUAAGAGUCAUGUAAUUAUUACACUUGCUGAUCUGAGAAGGCACUGGUAAUUCAAGAUUGUAUAUAUAUAUGUAUAAUAGUAUAUAUGUAUACUAUUAUACAUAUAGCUCUUAGAUAUAUAAUUAUAUAUAUACGUGUAUGUACAUAUAGCUCUUAAAUAUAUAUUUAUAAAUAUAUAUUUAUAGCUCCCUUGGAAGUUCACAUGUGGUUAAAUAAUUUGCAUUUGAAAUUUUUCACUUCUUUCUUAAAUAAUCCUAAUCAUUAACUUUCAAUUAAUAUGCAAAUAUCAUUGCUGAAGAAUAUAAGUAAUUUGAUACUGUUUUCCACUUGAUAACCAGAGCACUGAUUUUCAGCAGAUGGAGAAACUACCAGGGGUUAUGGAGCGUGUAAGGUGGGAUAGAAGUCUCAUAACCAAGAGGCUUAUGAGAUUAGAAAAAAAUAUAUUUAAUACAUAGUUUAAUAUUACGUUUUAGAAAAGAAAAAAUGCUUAUACAUUUUGAAAUAUAGACUGAGUAUUAGUUGAGAUACAUUUUUUAAAAAGUUUUUAAAAAGACUGAAAACACUGAUUUAGAGAAGAACCUCUAGAUUUCUUUAAGUUUUAUUUGUUUGGCUUGGAAUAUAUAGGCCUCUCUGUGUGAAGUCUGUGUCAUAAGGCUAGGAUGAUCCUUUCUUAAAGUUUUUUUUGUGUGUGUGUGUGUGUGUGUCUGUGUGUGUGUGCAUACGCAUAUGUAUGUAUGUGUUUGUUUUUGCUCAUCGCUUAUUGCUUUUUUUUUAAUUUUCGGGAACCAUAGUCUUUGUUCUGCCACUGGAUCAUGGUUGGGUACAAUUAAUGAUUGCUUUUGCCUACCCUAACAGAUCUCCCUCAAUUCAAGUUGGCAUAGUAUAUAGCUAAUGUUGGAAGUUUCUUUGAUCUCAGCCACUCCAGACCAAUAGUUAUGGUUUGGCCUACAAUGGCUGACUAUAGAAACAUAAACUAAAAAGAGCUAUGAAGUCAGUGUUCAAUAUGGUACACCAUUGAGAACUGAACAGGACCCUGAGCAUCAAGUGCAUGUCUGUGGCAAAGAAAAGUAAAAAGUAGAACUAUCUAAAAUAGCAAUAUCAUGGAGUAUAGAGAAAUAAUGGCUUUACCAAACAGUUCUCUCUUAUUAUUCUUGAUUAAAUAGAAACUGGCUGGGCAUGGUGGCACAUGCCUGUAGUCCCAGCUGUGGCAUUCAGGAGGCUGUGGCUGGAGGAUUGUUUGAGCCCAGGAGUUCAAGGCCGCAGUGAGCUAUGCCUGGGUGACAGAGCAAGACUCUGUGUCUAAAAAAAAAAAUUUUUUUUAAGUACUGUAAAUAUAUAGACUCCAAAGUGUAAAUAUGCUGAGGAAUCCCUAGCCUCUUUGCACCCCACACAAAGACAUUGCAAUCAUGGUAGAGGAACAAAAUGCAGAUUCCCAAGUGCUCUUCUAAACUCCCUUUACUUCCCAGAUAAAUAAUGGAAGAGAAGAUUAAAAUGAUCACCUUUCAUUCUAUUACACUUAUCUCAACAUUUCAAAUUGAAUUUCUAGGUUUUUAAUCUUUAACAGAGCAGACUCUCCUUCUUCUUCAUCUUCUCCUUCCCUUAUCCUUCCUUCAUGGUAAGUUCAGUCCCAAAGCCAUUAGUGGGGUUGCUCAAGGCAGACAUCUAUGCCAGAGUUGGGGUAACUGCAAUGGCCCAACAUUGCAGAGGGCAAGUGGGUGAGGAGGGCUUCCCUGUGGAGGGACAACCUGUGCAAGGUGUAGAGCCCUAGCAGGCUGAGGAGGGCAUCACCCAGGAAGGCAGCCCAGAACAGGGUAUCAGAGUGUGAGCAAUUUAAGGUGGUGUCUAUAGGGGGAGUGCCUGGACACACAGUGCCAGAGUUUGCACAGAAGUGUUAUGCUUGAUGGGAAUGGUCAGUCCCCAGGUGGGGUAAGGAAGGCAUUCUCAUGGUGAGGCAACUCAAUACAGGUAUGUCAAAACUCUGGUAGUGUAAAGACGAGGUCCAUACAUAGAGGUGAGCUGAUAUGGGGUAUUGAAGUCUGGGGAGACUAUGGAGGGUAUCUAUGCAAGAGAUCAGGGCAGGCUGACCUGAAGUGUCAGGACCCAGGCAGGGUAAGGGAGUGUCCUUGCAAGAGAGCAGCCCAGCCCAAACAAGGUGAGGAGAUCAAGGUGAGAAAGUUCCCCAAUAAGGAAUGUCAGAGCCCAGGCAGAUGAGCAGAGUGUACACACAGGGUGGGAGGGGGUCUGGUACAGGAAAGCAGUGAAGAGUAUAUACAUGGGGGAAGAGAGUGACAGCAGUUGUGGGAGAUUAGUUACUAAAAGAUUGAGCAAAUAAGUAAAUGUAUGAAGAUAAUAGAAACUAUAUCUCUCAACUUUGGAAAAGGAAAUUCCAAGUAUGGAAAAGAAAAAUAAAAACAACUAGAAGGUAAAAGGAGCUUUGCUUUGUUAGAUUGGAAUUAGAGAUAUCAGUGCAAACUCAUGGUUUUCAAUCUAUAUAAAUAGAUGAAGAUACAUCUGUAGUAUAUAGUAUAAAUAUAAAUGUUAAUGUGAGUGUGUGUGCACGUGUGUGUUGGGAGGGCCCAGGAGUAGCUCUACAUCAAUAACCUCAAGGAUUCCUAGAACUCAGAUCCCUAUACCAUUCUCCAUCAUUUGGCUGAUUCCAAGGCUAGGGUAGGGAAUCAGCAAAAUGAUUCUGGAACAUCUUUUUGUGCCAGAAAGAAAGUGCUGAUAGAACCAUGUGGACACAUUAAAAGGAAAGAGAAGCCAGUAUUAAGGGCCUCACAC